rnacentral:rRNA from 1 species
AUGCCAGAACUCAACCACCCGCAUCGAGGGCUACGCAGCUCCGACUCUGAAGCAAAGAUCCAAAAGAGAACUAUGCAAGACUGGCGUCGUGGAAGACCACCGAACGGACCACGUGCUGCCUGUCAUCGUUGCCACAGGGGCCCCGCCGCCGCAGCUUCGACUUCACCGCAACAACCAAACCGAGGUAAUCCCACGAACACGCCGAAGAAGAGCCGACUACCACUGCAAUGUCUUCGACUUCACUUGCCCUGUCGUCGUUGCCACAGAAGCCUCGAUGCCACACCAAUGCAUACCACCAACCUCCCAACACACCAGCUGGUCCCUCUGACCGGAUUGAACUCCAAAAUCGAUGCCCUCGAGAGGGAAACGACGCCAACACGCCGCCAACGACUGACCCUCCGGGUCUGGGGUUUCCCCCGGAGCUGUCCCUCGCAGAGGAAGAGAGAGCAUCCUGACGACGCCUUCAAGAAGGUUACGGCGUCCACAAACGCCACCGUCACAGGCUCCGGCCAUGGCCAGAGACGGGUUUUCACCCAGCCCUCGUGA